AUGGGAACGCGAAGAACCUUACCUACUCUUGACAUCCAGAGAACUUUCCAGAGAUGGAUUGGUGCCUUCGGGAACGUCUGAGACAGGUGCUGCAUGGCUGUCGUCAGCUCGUGUUGUGAAUGUUGGGUUAAGUCCGCAACGAGCGCAACCCGUUAUCCUUUGUUGCCAGCGGUUAGGCCGGGAACUCAAAGGAGACUGCCAGUGAUAAACUGGAGGAAGGUGGGGAUGACGUCAAGUCAUCAUGGCCCUUACGAGUAGGGCUACACACGUGCUACAAUGGCGCAUACAAAGAGAAGCGACCUCGCGAGAGCAAGCGGACCUCAUAAAGUGCGUCGUAGUCCGGAUUGGAGUCGUGCAACUCGACUCCAUGAAGUCGGAAUCGCUAGUAAUCGUAGAUC
rnacentral:rRNA from 1 species